UAAAUGGUUUUUAUCAAAACCAUUUUGAAAUUUCAAAUACAUAUUGU
rfam:Balearica pavonina gibbericeps contig13221, whole genome shotgun sequence.